rnacentral:rRNA from 1 species
UACGUAGGGUGCAAGCGUUACUCGGAAUUACUGGGCGUAAAGCGUGCGCAGGCGGCGAUGUAAGACAGAUGUGAAAUCCCCGGGCUCAACCUGGGAACUGCAUUUGUGACUGCAUCGCUGGAGUGCGGCAGAGGGGGAUGGAAUUCCGCGUGUAGCAGUGAAAUGCGUAGAUAUGCGGAGGAACACCGAUGGCGAAGGCAAUCCCCUGGGCCUGCACUGACGCUCAUGCACGAAAGCGUGGUGAGCAAACAGG